GAUGAACGCUGGCGGCGUGCCUAAUACAUGCAAGUCGAGCGAGCGGACGAGAAGCUUGCUUCUCUGAUGUUAGCGGCGGACGGGUGAGUAACACGUGGAUAACCUACCUAUAAGACUGGGAUAACUUCGGGAAACCGGAGCUAAUACCGGAUAAUAUUUUGAACCGCAUGGUUCAAAAGUGAAAGACGGUCUUGCUGUCACUUAUAGAUGGAUCCGCGCUGCAUUAGCUAGUUGGUAAGGUAACGGCUUACCAAGGCAACGAUGCAUAGCCGACCUGAGAGGGUGAUCGGCCACACUGGAGCUGAGACACGGUCCAGACUCCUACGGGAGGCAGCAGUAGGGAAUCUGCCGCAAUGGGCGAAAGCCUGACGGAGCAACGCCGCGUGAGUGAUGAAGGUCUUCGGAUCGUAAAGCUCUGUUAUUAGGGAAGAACAUAUGUGUAAGUAGCUGUGCACAUCGUGACGGUACCUAAUCAGAAAGCCACGGCUAACUACGUG
rnacentral:rRNA from 1 species